GUUAGGAAUAUUGGACAAUGGGCGCAAGCCUGAUCCAGCCAUGCCGCGUGAGUGAUGAUGGCCUUCGGGUUGUAAAGCUCUUUAGCCGAUGAUUAUAAUGACUGUAGUCGGAAAAUAAGCCCCGGCUAACUUCGUGCCAGCAGCCGCGGUAAUACGAAGGGGGCGAGCGUUAUUCGGAAUCACUGGGCGUAAAGCGUGCGUAGGUGGUUUUGUAAGUUAGGAGUGAAAGCCCAGGGCUCGACCUUGGAAUUGCUCUUAAAACUGCAAGGCUAGAAUCUCGGAGAGGAUAGCGGAAUUUCCCGUGUAGCAGUGAAAUGCGUAGAUAUUGGAAGGAACACCAGUGGCGUAAGCGGCUAUCUGGACGAGUAUUGACGCUGAGGCACGAAAGCGUGGGGAUCAAACAGGAUUAGAAACCCCAGUAGUCC
rnacentral:rRNA from 1 species